rnacentral:piRNA from 1 species
UGAGAAUUUUUAAUUUUUAAA